rnacentral:rRNA from 1 species
GACGAACGCUGGCGGCGUGCCUAACACAUGCAAGUCGAACGGAAAGGCCGUGCCUUUGUGGGGUGCUCGAGUGGCGAACGGGUGAGUAACACGUGAGUAACCUGCCCCUGACCGUGGGAUAACUUCAGGAAACUGGGGCUAAUACGGCAUAGGAGCUCUUGCUGCAUGGUGGGGGUUGGUAAGUUUCGGCGGUUGGGGAUUGACUCGCGGCUCAUCAGCUUGUUGAAUGGGUAGUGGCUUACCAAGGCUUUGACGGGUAGCAGGCCUGAGCGGAUGACCGGCCACGUUGGGCCUGGGAUGCGGCCCAGACUCCUACGGGAGGCAGCGGUGGGGAGUAUUGCACAGUGGGCGGAGGCCUAGUGCGGCCACGCCACGUGCGGGAUGUCGUCCUGGGGUUUGUAUUCCACUUUCCCCUUUGACGGGGCGUUAAUGACAGUAACGGGUGAAUAAGCUCCGGCUAACUACGUG